rnacentral:rRNA from 1 species
ACUCCUACGGGAGGCAGCAGUGGGGAAUCUUGGACAAUGGGCGCAAGCCUGAUCCAGCCAUGCCGCGUGAGUGAUGAAGGCCCUAGGGUCGUAAAGCUCUUUCGCCUGUGAUGAUAAUGACAGUAGCAGGUAAAGAAACCCCGGCUAACUCCGUGCCAGCAGCCGCGGUAAUACGGAGGGGGUUAGCGUUGUUCGGAAUUACUGGGCGUAAAGCGCGCGUAGGCGGACUAUUAAGUCAGAGGUGAAAUCCCGGGGGCUCAACCCCGGAACUGCCUUUGAUACUGGUAGUCUAGAGUUCGAGAGAGGUGAGUGGAAUUCCGAGUGUAGAGGUGAAAUUCGUAGAUAUUCGGAGGAACACCAGUGGCGAAGGCGGCUCACUGGCUCGAUACUGACGCUGAGGUGCGAAAGUGUGGGGGGCAAACA